rnacentral:tRNA from 4 species
UCCCUGAUAGCUCAGCUGGUAGAGCAAAUGACUGUUAAUCAUUGGGUCGCAGGUUCGAGUCCUGCUCAGGGAGCCA